rnacentral:rRNA from 1 species
AUGCCCAUGAUGUGUCUUGAACGCCGUCUUGGACUCGUCUUCCUCCCGCAUCCUGAUCCGAUGGUAGCCCGCCCGCAAGUCCAGUUUGGAAAACACCGCUGCGCCGGCCAGCUCGUCCAGCAGCUCGUCGAUGAUGGGGAGGGGAAAUUUGUUCUUGACUGUGGCGUCGUUGAGGCGACGGUAGUCGACGCAGAAUCGCCAGGUGCCGUCCUUCUUCUUCACGAGCAACACUGGCGCUGCGUAGGGACUGACGUUGUGCGUGAUCACGCCGGAAUCCAGCAUCUCCUUGACCUGCCGCUCGAUCUCGUCCUUCUGGAGCGGCGAGUAGCGGUACGGGCGCGUGUUCGCGGGGACCACGCCCUCCACCAAUGUGACAGCGUGGUCGUACUGGAGAUGGGGAGGGAGCCCUUGCGGUGCCGCAAACACGUCGGUGAAUUCCUCGAGCAGGUCUACCAGUGGUGUUUGACUUGGGCCUUUGCGAACCUGGCGCGCUGGAGGGCCACAGGUGUCCACUAUGGCCAUGGCCCAGACAUCGUUGCCGGCGAUCAUCUUGCGCAGCUCCUCAGGACUGACUGCCUUGAGCGUAGUAGCCGGUUUGGUUGGAACCCCGCGGAGCGUGACCUCUUCGCCGUCGUGCAGAAACUUCACCCACUUGUCUUGCCAAUGACAUGUCAUGGGGCUGUGCUGGGCGAGCCAGUCCAUGCCCAAUAUGCCGCCGUACGCGCCGAUCUCCAGCUCACGCAUGGGCGUCUCGAAGGUGUGGCCCUGCAGCCACCAUUUGAGGCCGGGCACGAUGCGGUUGCAGGUGAGUUUGUCACCGUUGGCCACACGCACCUCGGUCGGCGGCAUUUCCUCCGUGGCGAGACCGAGGCGAUCCACGAACGCCUUGUUGACGAAACUGUGGGUGCUACCCGAGUCGAGCAGCAGGAGCAUGACCUGGUUCCCCACCAGUGCGCGCAACCUGAUCGCCGUCGCCGAAUCUGUGCCGUCGAGCGCCUGCGACGAGAGCAGACAACACUCUGGUGCGUCCGCGGCCAAGGCAGGGGGUUGCGCCACCGGGCCCGGUUCGUCGAGCAGUUGCAGGGCAUGGAUGGUGUCGUUCGAGAGCACCUCCCCGUGGUCUCCCACGUUGAUCGUGAGCAGUUGCGCGGGCUGGGCGCAACCAUGCUCCCUGGAGUAGCGGUCGCCGCACUUGAAACAGAGAUUGUUCGCGCGACGGAAAUCGUAUAG